rnacentral:rRNA from 1 species
GAUGAACGCUGGCGGCGCGCCUAACACAUGCAAGUCGAACGAUUAAAGCACCUUCGGGUGUGUAUAAAGUGGCGAACGGCUGAGUAACACGUGGGCAACCUGCCCCUUUCAUUGGGAUAGCCACGGGAAACCGUGGAUAAUACCGAAUACUUCGAGACUUCCGCAUGGAAGACUCGAGAAAGCUCCGGCGGAGAGGGAUGGGCCCGCGGCCUGUUAGCUUGUUGGUGGGGUAACGGCCUACCAAGGCAAGGAUGGGUAGCUGGGUUGAGAGACCGACCAGCCAGAUUGGGACUGAGACACGGCCCAGACUCCUACGGGAGGCAGCAGUGGGGAAUCUUGCACAAUGGGCGAAAGCCUGAUGCAGCGACGCCGCGUGCGGGAUGAAGGCCUUCGGGUUGUAAACCGCUUUCAGCAGGGACGAGGCGAAAGUGACGGUACCUGCAGAAGAAGCCCCGGCUAACUACGUG